rnacentral:rRNA from 1 species
UACGGGGGGAGCAAGCGUUGUUCGGAAUCACUGGGCGUAAAGCGCACGUAGGCGGCUUCUUAAGUCAGGGGUGAAAUCCUGGAGCUCAACUCCAGAACUGCCUUUGAUACUGAGGAGCUUGAGUCCGGGAGAGGUGAGUGGAACUGCGAGUGUAGAGGUGAAAUUCGUAGAUAUUCGCAAGAACACCAGUGGCGAAGGCGGCUCACUGGCCCGGUACUGACGCUGAGGUGCGAAAGCGUGGGGAGCGAACAGG